rnacentral:rRNA from 1 species
GCCAUACCAUCCUGAAAGAACCACCUGAUCUUGUCUGAUCUUAGAAGCUAAGUAGGGUUGGGGCUGGCUAAUACUUGGGUAAGAGAAUUCCCACUUAAAAGAGGCU